GAACCAUCCACAUUCGAUGUAGUCGUAGGUCAGCCACAGCAGCUCGUACAUCGGGCCGGAUGCCUCUCACGCACAGCUGCAUCAGCCACAGCAGUGUGACGAAGGUCCCCGAUCGGCCUACGCCUGCACUGAUAUACAACGAAGAUACAACAAGUACUCUCCUGCCUGCCUCUCUGAUCACCUCUGGAAGCUCCUCCUGUCUACCGAGAGCCUGUCUCACCGUUCCCCGAAAAGCUGCACAACACUCGUCCUGUCUCAGCUUCCACCACAUGGCUCUCUGCUCUGCCUUUGUCUUCCUAAUCUUUCUCCCCACCACCAGACUCAUCUUACACACCACCAUCCUAUGCUGUCUAGCCACACUCUCCCCUACCACAACCUUACAGUCGGUAACCUCCUUCAGAUUACAUCAUCUGCACAAGAUGUAAUCCACCUGCGUCCUUCUACCUCCGCUCUUGUAGGUCACCCUAUGUUCCUGCCUCUUCUGGAAAAAAGUGUUUACUACAGCCAUUUCCAUCCUUAUUGUAAAGUCUACCACCAUCUGUCCCUCCAAGUUCCUUUCCUGGAUGCCGUACAUAUCCAUCACUUCUUCAUCACCACUAUUUCCUUCACCAACAUGUCCAUUACAAUCUGCACCAAUCACAAAUCUCUCGCUGUCUGGGAUGCUCAGAACUACUUCGUCUAGCUCCUUCCAGAAUUUCUCUUUCACCUCUUGGUCACAUCCUACCUGUGGGGCAUAGCCGCUAAUCACAUUAUACAUAACACCCUCAAUUUCAAGUUUCAACCUCAUCACUCGAUCUGAUACUCUUUUCACCUCCAAGACAUUCUUAGCCAACUCUUCUUUUAAAAUAACCCUGACUCCAUUUCUCUUCCCAUCUACGCUCAUAUUUGUUUGGCAAAGUUUUAAGCCGGAUGCCCUUCCUGACGCAACCCUCUACAUUUAUCUGGGCUCGGGACCGGCCUACAGUUUGCACUGGCUUGUGCCCCCCAUAGGGCUGCAUUCUUGUCUUUGUAGUGUAUUCAAUUAAAUAUAGGUCGAACAUGA